GGGUGCGAUCAUACCAGCACUAAUGCACCGGAUCACAUCAGAACUCCGAAGUUAAACGUGCUUGGGCGAGAGUAGUACUAAGAUGGGUAACCUCUUGGGAAGUCCUCGUGUUACACCCC
rfam:Ricinus communis cultivar Hale ctg_1100012362469, whole genome shotgun sequence.